UACGUAGGGGGCAAGCGUUGUCCGGAUUUAUUGGGCGUAAAGAGCGUGUAGGCGGCCUGGUAGGUCAGCUGUGAAAACUCGAGGCUCAACCUCGAGACGUCGGCGGAAACCAUCUGGCUAGAGUCCGGAAGAGGAGAGUGGAAUUCCUGGUGUAGCGGUGGAAUGCGCAGAUAUCAGGAGGAACACCGGUGGCGAAGGCGGGAUCCUGGGCCAGUACUGACGCUGAGGAGCGAAAGCGUGGGGAGCAAACAGG
rnacentral:rRNA from 1 species